UACAGAGGUCUCAAGCGUUGUUCGGAUUCAUUGGGCGUAAAGGGUGCGUAGGUGGCGCUGUAAGUCGGGUGUGAAAUUUCGAGGCUUAACCUCGAAACUGCAUUCGAUACUGCGGUGCUUGAGGACUGGAGAGGAGACUGGAAUUCAUGGUGUAGCAGUGAAAUGCGUAGAGAUCAUGAGGAAGACCAGUGGCGAAGGCGGGUCUCUGGACAGUUCCUGACGCUGAGGCACGAAGGCCAGGGGAGCAAACGGG
rnacentral:rRNA from 1 species